rnacentral:rRNA from 1 species
UAGGGAAUCUUCCACAAUGGACGCAAGUCUGAUGGAGCAACGCCGCGUGAGUGAAGAAGGUCUUCGGAUCGUAAAACUCUGUUGUUAGAGAAGAACACGAGUGAGAGUAACUGUUCAUUCGAUGACGGUAUCUAACCAGCAAGUCACGGCUAACUACGUGCCAGCAGCCGCGGUAAUACGUAGGUGGCAAGCGUUGUCCGGAUUUAUUGGGCGUAAAGGGAACGCAGGCGGCCUUUUAAGUCUGAUGUGAAAGCCUUCGGCUUAACCGGAGUAGUGCAUUGGAAACUGGAAGACUUGAGUGCAGAAGAGGAGAGUGGAACUCCAUGUGUAGCGGUGAAAUGCGUAGAUAUAUGGAAGAACACCAGUGGCGAAAGCGGCUCUCUGGUCUGUAACUGACGCUGAGGUUCGAAAGCGUGGGUAGCAAACAGGAUUAGAUACCCUGGUAGUCCACGCCGUAAACGAUGAAUGCUAGGUGUUGGAGGGUUUCCGCCCUUCAGUGCCGCAGCUAACGCAAUAAGCAUUCCGCCUGGGGAGUACGACCGCAAGGUUG